rnacentral:rRNA from 1 species
UGGGGAAUAUUGGACAAAGGGCGCAAGCCUGAUCCAGCCAUGCCGCGUGAGUGAUGAAGGCCCUAGGGUUGUAAAGCUCUUUCACCGGUGAAGAUAAUGACGGUAACCGGAGAAGAAGCCCCGGCUAACUUCGUGCCAGCAGCCGCGGUAAUACGAAGGGGGCUAGCGUUGUUCGGAUUUACUGGGCGUAAAGCGCACGUAGGCGGACUUUUAAGUCAGGGGUGAAAUCCCGGGGCUCAACCCCGGAACUGCCUUUGAUACUGGAAGUCUUGAGUAUGGUAGAGGUGAGUGGAAUUCCGAGUGUAGAGGUGAAAUUCGUAGAUAUUCGGAGGAACACCAGUGGCGAAGGCGGCUCACUGGACCAUUACUGACGCUGAGGUGCGAAAGCGUGGGGAGCAAACAGG